GACGGAGGAUGCAAGCGUUAUCCGGAAUGAUUGGGCGUAAAGCGUUCGCAGGUGGCAGUUUAAGUCUGCUGUUAAAGACCGGGGCUUAACUUCGGAAAGGCAGUGGAAACUGAACAGCUAGAGUAUGGUAGGGGCAGAGGGAAUUCCUGGUGUAGCGGUGAAAUGCGUAGAGAUCAGGAAGAACAUCGGUGGCGAAGGCGCUCUGCUGGACCAUAACUGACACUCAGGGACGAAAGCUAGGGGAGCGAAUGGG
rnacentral:rRNA from 1 species